UACGAAGGGUGCUAGCGUUGUUCGGAAUUAUUGGGCGUAAAGAGCUCGUAGGCGGUUUGUCGCGUCUGCCGUGAAAGUCCGGGGCUCAACUCCGGAUCUGCGGUGGGUACGGGCAGACUAGAGUGAUGUAGGGGAGACUGGAAUUCCUGGUGUAGCGGUGAAAUGCGCAGAUAUCAGGAGGAACACCGGUGGCGAAGGCGGUUCUCUGGGCAUUACCUGACGCUGAGGAGCGAAAGUGUGGGGAGCGAACAGG
rnacentral:rRNA from 1 species